rnacentral:misc_RNA from 1 species
GAUGAAGAACGUAGCGAAAUGCGAUAAGUAAUGCGAAUUGCAGAAUUUCCGUGAGUCAUCGAAUCUUUGAACGCACAUUGCGCCCUUUGGUAUUCCUUAGGGCAUGCCUGUUCGAGCGUCAUUUAAACCUUCAAGCUCAGCUUGGUGUUGGGUGACUGUCCGCUUCACCGCGGACUCGCCUCAAAAUUAUUGGCGGCCGGUACAUUGGCUUCGAGCGCAGCAGAAACGCGAACUCGGGCCCGUCGUAUUGGCUCCCAGAAGCUAUCUUCACAAUUUUGACCUCGGAUCAGGUAGGGAUACCCGCUGAACUUAAGCAUAUCAAUAAGCGGAGGA